UCAGACGAUGCGUCAUGCAUAUCAAUAAGCGGAGGAAAAGAAACCAACAAGGAUUCCCCUAGUAACGGCGAGUGAAGCGGGAAGAGCUCAAAUUUGAAAUCUUAAAGGGUUUCCCUUUACGAAUUGUAGUUUAAAGAAGUGUUUUCUGUUGAGGUUUUGGUAAAAGUUCUUUGGAAUAGGACAUCAUAGAGGGUGAGAAUCCCGUAUUUGACCUUUACUUUCAACUUUGUGAUACACUUUCAAAGAGUCGGAUUGUUUGGGAAUGCAGUCCAAAAUGGGUGGUAAAUUUCAUCUAAAGCUAAAUAUUGGCGAGAGACCGAUAGCGAACAAGUACCGUGAGGGAAAGAUGAAAAGAACUUUGAAAAGGGAGUUAAACAGUACGUGAAAUUGUCAAAAGGGAAGCGUUUGACACCAGUAGUUGUUUUUCUGAAAAUCAAUUAAAGAACUGUUUAUGCUAAGUUGUUUAGACUUUAUCAGCUAUCUGUUUAGUUUUGAGCUUUUCUUUAAUGCACUUUUCAGUUAACAAGUCAACAUCAAUUUCUUUUGCUGUAAAAAAGCUUGAGGAAGGCGGCUUGAGAUUCGUCUUAAGUGUUUAUAGCCUCUUGCCUAUGCAGUCGGAGAGAUUGAGGUCUGCAGCGUAGAUCCUUCGGGGCUAAAUGCAUUUGUGCUAAGUUAUAGCAUUUUAUAGACAACUUGUUGACUAUGAUUUGUCUUGUAGCUUACUCGCUUAUGUUAUUUUACCUACGCUUAGGAUGUUGAAUCUGUGCGAGACUAC
rnacentral:rRNA from 1 species